CUGGGGAUACAUUUUUGGUUGUCCGGUGGUAUUAUCAAACAGAUGCAUUUCUGGUAGGAAGGAGUUGGAUGAUAUUUGGGAGCCACCCCUCCCCAGCAAGCGCCCCCGCCAGUCAACAUCUUCACCCCCACUGCUGUCUCAAUCACCCCAUCUGAUAGUUCUACAUCUCCCACUUGACAAAGGCCCCUCUCCUCUUCAACCACAUCCACUGCAGGCCCUGGCAACACUCCCCUCUUUGCAAGUUAAUCUGAAGGUGCGGGGACAGGGAGGAGAUCUAGGCCUCAACAGAGGGAGAAGCAGGAGGAGAGGCAGUGGAAGUAUCACAACAGAGGGAGAUGAAACUGAGGACAGGUGGCAUACAUCCUUGAAGAUGAUGAGGAGCCAGAACAAUUUUGGUGUAAAUCCAAACAACCUGAAGGCCCACAGUUGGUUAGUGAUGAAACAUACACCCCCUUACAGCUGUUUGAGCUCUACUUUCCAUCCUCUGUACUGAGAACACUAAUUAGUAAUACCAACAAGUAUGGGGACAAGAAGCAGCAGGGAGGAAGGCAGAGACCAUGGGUGACAUGCUCCACUACAUUUCCUUGGUGAUUUACAUGGAACUGGUAAAGGUAUAAAGACUAGCUGACAACUGGAGCAAGUCCCUACUCUAUCGGUUCGAGUUCCUCACCUCCAUCAUGAGUGCAAACCAAUUCUUGGCCAUCAACUGUACUCUUCACAUGAGUGACCCACAAAAGGAUCAGUAAAAUGACCAGAAGAAGGGGACUGCAGGGUAUGAUCGUCUUGCAAGAGUCAAGCCCCUUUAUCAUGACAUGGUGGAGGCAUACAACAUUUACUUCCAACCGGCUCAAAAUCUAUCUAUCUUUAGAUGAGAGCAUGGUUGCCUCAAAUGUACGAAUUGGCUUGAAGCAAUAUAUUAAAAAUAAGCCGGCCAAAUGGGGCUACAAGCUCUUUGUGCCGAUUCAGCCUCUGCCUACACAUGGAUCUUUUUUAUCUAUGAAGGCAAGGCCCACCCACUUGGAAGAGCCUUAGUUAUGACUCUGUCAUGCAGCUGAUGGACUUCCCCUUACUUGGCAGUGGGUACAUAGACCACUUUUUUUAAAUAGGGGCUUUGUGCACCAUUCAUCCUAACUGAAUCGAUUUCCCCAAGACCAAAGUAAACGACAUGACAAAGACAGCGGAGAGGGGGACCAUACGUUGGAUCAGGACUAACAAGCUGCUUUUUGUGAAAUGGAAGGACACUAGGGAAGUAACCAUGCUCACAACACAGCAUAAGGCAUUCAAUAACGACCACGUCUCUAGGAGGGGGAAAAAUGCCUUUGGGGCAUGGGUGAGGACGAAUGUCCCUAUUCCUGUUUCUGUGAAGGACUACAAUGCCAGCAUUGGGGGGUGUCGACCUAUCUGAUGCUCUGAUAGGCUACUACCAGGUCCUCCAUCAGACCAGGAAGUGGUAUAAGACUUUUUCACCACUUUGUGGACAUUGCUACAGUAAUUGCUUUCAUUCUCCGCAAACAGAUGGCCAAAGCAAAAGGUCAAACCCCUCUCUCUCAGUUGGCCUUCAGAGAGCAGCUGGUGUUGGGAAUGGCUGAAUUGGGGGCCCAAAGCAACCUCACAACAAUCACAAGACUCCCCACUCAAGUAGAAGAGUGUCACCAGCACCAGUAGGGAGCAGAUGAUGACAGCCAGCACGCCCGUGGCGAUGGUGCCAGCUAUGAGACCCACACUCUGGGGCUGGGCUGAAGGGCCAGGGGAGAAAGAGAGCGAG